rnacentral:rRNA from 1 species
CUUGGGAAGCGUAGAACCCUUUUCUCGGGCCGCAAUUUUAUUUAUACAGAUGAUGCCGUGGCUUACAAGUAGAUCGAUCAAGAGUUUGAUCGAGAGUUUACAGAGAAGGUCGGUAAAGAGAGGGAGAAACAGAAGAAGAGAUAGAACAGGUUUCCAGGAGUUUAAACCUCUAGUCCUAUCCUAUUACAAAGUAUUUCAACA